rnacentral:rRNA from 1 species
CUGAUCAGGGCCACGCCUGUCUGAGGGUCG